CAGUAGCCCGGGAAUACGAAGGGUGCAAGCGUUAAUCGGAAUUACUGGGCGUAAGGCGUGCGCAGGCGGUUGUGUAAGACAGGUGUGAAAUCCCCGGGCUUAACCUGGGAACUGCGCUUGUGACUGCACAGCUAGAGUAUGGCAGAGGGGGGUGGAAUUCCACGUGUAGCAGUGAAGUGCGUAGAGAUGUGGAGGAACACCGAUGGCGAAGGCAGCCCCCUGGGCCAAUACUGACGCUCAUGCACGAAAGCGUGGGGAGCAAACAGGAUUAGAUACCCGCGUAGUCCCUGUCUCUUAUACC
rnacentral:rRNA from 1 species